rnacentral:rRNA from 1 species
GAUGAACGCUGGCGGCGUGCCUAAUACAUGCAAGUCGAGCGAACGGACGAGAAGCUUGCUUCUCUGAUGUUAGCGGCGGACGGGUGAGUAACACGUGGAUAACCUACCUAUAAGACUGGGAUAACUUCGGGAAACCGGAGCUAAUACCGGAUAAUAUUUUGAACCGCAUGGUUCAAAAGUGAAAGACGGUCUUGCUGUCACUUAUAGAUGGAUCCGCGCUGCAUUAGCUAGUUGGUAAGGUAACGGCUUACCAAGGCAACGAUGCAUAGCCGACCUGAGAGGGUGAUCGGCCACACUGGAACUGAGACACGGUCCAGACUCCUACGGGAGGCAGCAGUAGGGAAUCUUCCGCAAUGGGCGAAAGCCUGACGGAGCAACGCCGCGUGAGUGAUGAAGGUCUUCGGAUCGUAAAACUCUGUUAUUAGGGAAGAACAUAUGUGUAAGUAACUGUGCACAUCUGGACGGGACCGAAUCAGAAAGCCACGGCUAACUACGU